CAGGUCUGGAACAAAAGCUUGCACACCCAGUAGGCCUAUAGCUUUCCGUGACCAGUUGAAUAGAUAGACUCAUAGAGAAUAUAGAAAUUGAGCUGAUGCGUUAGGCUACAGCUUAGCUACAGAUUGUUACACCGUAUAAUGUAAUUUAAUCAAAGAUGUUUGGUAUUUAUUACCGGGAGUUAUAGGUUAGGCACUGGUUGCACAGAGAAUUUUAGACCAACCUUAACUUGCUGAUAUUAUCUUUGUUCUCGAUUCAGUCAAACAUGUAUCCUUCAAAAUAUCUGUGUCCAGUUGCAUGUGGUAUGUUUGAAUUUAGAAAAUGCUCCAUGAAUUAAUCCAACAAUGUGUACACCUCCAUCUUGUCUAUUUCAAAUCUUCUCUCAUUGAUUAAGACAGGUGUCCACCCCAAAGUGCCGCAGAUCGAGACACUCACCUGUCUCGAUCAAUGAGAGAAGAUUUGAAAGAUGGCGUGUACACAUUGUUGGAUUACUUCAUUACUUCAAAUUCAAACGCACCACCUGUAACUGGACACAGACAUUUUAGAAGAUACAUGUUUGGAAGAAAUUGUUAAGGUUGGUUGAAAAGUCUCUGUGCUAGACCAAACAAAAGACAACGUUCCUUCGGUCUGGAGCAUCAUAGCUGCUGACCUGUGGCGAAGAAUCAUUCGGAUGAUGCCUCCUGAGGAUGUCCUAGAUGAGGAGACGUCUCCAUCAUCAUCGUGUGAAUCCCCUGGGACCAACAAGGCACAGGGUGGUCAGCAGGGACGAGAGCCCAACACUCAAAAUGUCCCUCCAUGAGUGGCACUCAUCAGGUAGAAGAAAAAGAGGAAGAAGAGAGGCCCCCCAAGGUCCCUCGGCACGCCCACAAACCGCACAGGCGACGAAAGCUGCGGCUAUGGGGCCACAACCCCACAAACAAGGGGUAAACAAGGGGAUCUUUUUGAUGUCUGCUGCCCAACAUUGAGGGUCAGAGAUCCAAAUAGGAUUGGGUGCUGCUGGGUAGUACAGGUGGUUGAGUAGGGGUGUCAGGUGGUGGUGGCAAAUGAAGACACCCCAGAGUGAGCUGGGCUCCUAAAAGCAACGACCAGAAUGCAAGGACCAUCCCAUUUAUUGGUUUAUGUUAUUAGUGCAUACCAAAUACUGUUAUAAUCGUUUAGUAUUUCUAUGUACAUUGAUGAUAAUAAUAAUGAUAGAAACAGUAUUGGUAGUUAAAAUUAUAUCAUGUAUAAGCAGGCAAUGUGUUUUUUUACCCAGACCCUGGUUGUCAACCUUGUACCCACCACGGCACACCACCCAGUUGAUCUCCUCGUUAAAAUAUCUUGCAUACCGUAUGACAUUCAGGAGCCGAUGAAGGACUCUGAGAGAGCAGAGCGAAGGACAGUUUAUGGCGGAUUUCUUUACUGCACAGUUUGGCACACCCCCUUUUUUUUGUUUUUUACUGGGAUAGGAGAAGGCUUAACAGUUCAGAAACUAGUAAUAAGCGCCAUGUGAACUAUACAGGUCCUUAAAAUGAGCUCUCAGAUGCUGUUUACAAGACCAGUACCUUUUAAGAGUCUGUCUUUUCCAACGGCGGGAAGUCAAAUUGCCCUGCUCUUAAUUAUUGUCAGGGUGCAUGAUUUUUUAUGAGGACCAGUCACAAUGCGAUACACCCACCCAUUUUAUUUUGACUCUUAUUAAAAGAGAGCGGUUGGUUCAGUACAUUUAUUUAUUUAUUUAGGUUGUCAUUUAUGUAUUUGUUUGUUUAUUUGUUUAUUUAUGUUUUUGUUUAUGUAUAUGCAUAUGAGGUUGACUUUUGGGCACAUUGAAAACAUGAAUGUGGCUUUGCGGUUUAGCAGCCUCUAGCUAGCACUGCUUGCUAUGAGGUGUGAGCUUUGGCAGUGUGGGUGAGCAUGGUGCUCCGUAGACCAGUAGCCAGUAGGUGGUGGUAGUAACACUAGUAUGAAUCAGACUCCUGUAUUGGCCAAUGAUGUGUAUGUCUAGGAUCUUGGCUCAGUAACCAGGGGAAGGGAGAUGGGGAGAAAUGGAAGGAGGGGCCUUUGGUGCACUGUGCUUCCUGUUAGUAGGCACUGGGGAACUCAGGCAUUUACAGAAAUGACAUGCUGCUGACACUGAGCAGCUCAGUAUAGCUGGAUCUUAUUGUAAAAGCUUGGCUAGCAAUGUGUUUGACUUGAAGCACAAUUUACAAUCAAUGUAGAAAGCCGUCCCAAUGAAACCAUAUGUUUGAUGGAACCAUACAUUAUUAUUACAAGGAUUUAUAGUCAAUGCAGUACAUCCCACUCAAAUCUGGAUGUUUGGAGAAAACAUUUCAAUAUUGUGAAUGGAAAUUCAGUUAAACUUGGCAUUAGCAGGGCACUGUUUAGUCAGAGACGGUCAGUGUUUAGUCAGAGACGGUCAGUGUUUAGUCGGGGACGGUCAGUGUUUAGUCGCGGACGGUCAGUGUUUAGUCAGAGACGGUCAGUGUUUAGUCGGGGACGGUCAGUGUUUAGUCGGGGACUGUCAGUGUUUAGUCGGGGACUGUCAGUGUUUAGUCGGGGACUGUCAGUGUUUAGUCGGGGACUGUCAGUGUUUAGUCGGGGACGGUCAGUGUUUAGUCGGGGACGGUCAGUGUUUAGUCGGGGACUGUCCGUGUUUAGUCGGGGACUGUCCGUGUUUAGUCGGGGACGGUCCGUGUUUCGUCUGGGACGGUCCGUGUUUCGUCGGGGACUGUCAGUGUUUAGUCGGGGACUGUCAGUGUUUAGUCGGGGACUGUCAGUGUUUAGUCGGGGACUGUCAGUGUUUAGUCGGGGACUGUCAGUGUUUAGUCGGGGACUGUCAGUGU
ensembl:lncRNA